ensembl:lncRNA C3P1 complement component 3 precursor pseudogene
AGUGCCACAAGGUCAGUGCCCCAGUCAGUGGCCCUGGCCGGCUCAGACAGGACUCUGUUCUCUCCAGCUCUCCCAUGAGAAGAACACGGUGCUGGGCUUUCGGGUUCACAGGAUGCUGCAGGCGGAGUUCCUGCAGGCCGCCCUGGUCACCAUCUACGACUACUACGAGCCUUUUACAGCUAUGUUCUGGGCAAGGAGACGUUCCUCAUCCUUUGGCCAGCAGAUGGAGAUGCCAGCAAGAAAGAAUUGCGGGACCAACUGGAGGAAUUUUUGGAAUAUAUGCGCACCCACGGCUGCCAGUCCUGAGCCUCUUCUGCUUUCAGGGAGGUGUCAUCAGGCAGCUCUGGGCCACUGGGUUUAACCCCAAAUAAAGAGCACAGGAUAUGACACCCAAACCCUG